GUCAGAUGUACCUGUGGCCAGAGCAAGAAAGCAAACACAAGAAGAAGCACUGUUAAGUCGACCAAUCAAGUCCUCUGUCGUUCAGCCAUUGUCUGAACAUUUUGAAAACUUCUGAGUUUUUAUGAAUUGUUUUGAGGAGCUGACAGAUGCAGUCGUUGGCCCAGAUUUCAAGGAGACAACGUACCUCGCUGCUUGACCAAACCCUCCGGAAGAUGACGGCCUGGAAUAGGACCACCGGCUCCUUCCUCUGUUCAGCUAACACUCUCUAGGGGGGAAUUGUUUUUUUUGGUCCCAUUUCCCCUGCUGUGUGUGUAUAUUUUUGCUAUUUUUUUCCCCUCUCACCAACCAUUUGUUUCCUAACCCUAAUAAAGACACCCCAGCAGGGGUUUUUGGCACUAA